rnacentral:rRNA from 1 species
UACGAAGGGUGCAAGCGUUACUCGGAAUUACUGGGCGUAAAGCGUGCGUAGGCGGUUUGUUAAGUCUGUUGGGAAAGCCCCGGGCUCAACCUGGGAAUGGCAAUGGAAACUGGCGAGCUAGAGUACGGUAGAGGAGAGUGGAAUUCCCGGUGUAGCAGUGAAAUGCGUAGAGAUCGGGAGGAACAUCAGUUGCGAAGGCGGCUCUCUGGACCAGUACUGACGCUGAGGCACGAAAGCGUGGGGAGCAAACAGG